GUGAUAUAUGUUUAGAAAUUGCACGAAAAUCGAAAGGAGACGUAUGGAAAAUCGAUGACUUGUUAGAUACUAUAAAAAUCGAAAUAGAAGCGAGGGAAGUCAGCGAGGGGGUGCGGUCAACUCCACAACAACCGGGUAAACGACCCGGGGGUCAAUCAACCGUAGGGGCAUUUGUUACGAAGGGCAGUAAUUCUGGAAAAUUUC